rnacentral:rRNA from 1 species
AUGGCGGUCACGCGCCUCGCCGUGGCCGCCGCCCUCUCCUCCGCCCCGCCCUCCUCCCGCCGAGGCAGGGCGGCCCCGUCCUCGUGCCGCCCCCUCCCCGCCGCCUCCUGUUCUCGCGCACCCAAGUCCAAGGCCCUGCGCGCCACCGCCGCCCCCGCCGCCGACGCGGUCGACGAGGAGGCCCCCGCCUCCUCUCCUCCGUCAGAUCCUGGCAGGGGGGUGGAGAACCUGGUGAUCAUCGGCUCCGGCCCGGCAGGGUACACCGCGGCCAUUUACGCUGCCCGGGCCAACCUGAAACCCGUCGUCUUCGAAGGCUACCAGGUGGGCGGUGUUCCCGGAGGCCAGCUGAUGACCACCACCGAGGUGGAGAAUUUCCCUGGGUUCCCCGACGGCAUCACUGGGCCUGAUCUCAUGGACAAAAUGCGGAAGCAGGCGGAGCGGUGGGGUGCAGAGCUUCACCAAGAAGAUGUUGAAUUUAUAGAUGUGAAGAGUAGGCCAUUUGUUAUCCGUAGCAGUGACCGAGAGGUGAAAUCCCAUAGUGUAAUCAUUGCAACUGGAGCUACUGCGAAGCGACUUCGAUUACCUCGUGAAGAAGAAUUUUGGAGUAGAGGUAUCAGCGCAUGUGCAAUAUGUGAUGGAGCAUCACCACUGUACAAGGGUCAAGUUCUCGCGGUCGUUGGAGGGGGUGAUACAGCUACCGAGGAAGCAAUAUAUUUGACAAAAUAUGCGUGCCAUGUUCAUUUACUUGUUCGAAGAGACCAACUACGAGCAUCCAAAGCUAUGCAGGACCGAGUACUCAACAACCCCAACAUAACAGUACAUUUCAAUACAGAAGCUGUGGAUGUUGUCGGCAAUACGAAAGGACAGAUGUCCGGUAUUCAGUUGAGGAGAAUCGAUACGGGAGAGGAAAAAGUUCUUGAAGUGAAAGGUCUAUUUUAUGGGAUAGGACAUACUCCAAACAGUCAGCUGCUACAAGGUCAAAUUGAACUUGAUAGUUCUGGAUAUAUUUUGGUUGAUGAAGGGACAGCAAAAACUUCAGUUGAUGGCGUAUUUGCUGCUGGUGAUGUGCAGGAUCAUGAAUGGAGGCAAGCCGUUACUGCAGCUGGAUCUGGAUGUAUAGCUGCUUUGUCAGUUGAAAGAUACUUAGUCUCCAAUGAUCUUCUUGUUGAAUUUCACCAGCCUGUUCGUGAAGAAAAAAAGAAGGAGAUUGAAGGCAAAGAUGUCGAGAUGGGCUUCGACAUUACUCACACAAAGCACAAGGGACAGUAUGCACUCCGCAAGUUAUACCAUGGAAGUCCAAGGCUCAUUUUGGUUCUAUAUACUUCUCCAACAUGUGGUCCCUGCAGAACCUUAAAACCAAUUUUGAACAAGGUUAUAGAUGAAUACGACGAAUACGUUCAUUUUGUUGAAAUUGACAUCGAGGAGGACCCUGAAAUAGCAGAAGCUGCAGGCAUAAUGGGAACACCGUGUGUCCAGUUCUUCAAAAACAAAGAAAUGAUCAGGACUUUCUCUGGUGUGAAGAUGAAGAAGGAAUACCGGGAGUUCAUCGAGUCGAACAAAUGA